AGUUCAUUUUUUGGCGCUGAGCAAAGCAGUUGACUCUAAUAAGUCAUAGGUCACUAACAUGUAUAAAUUUCAACUGACAUUCGUUUGCCUGGCUCUGUUCACUUUGAGCAGUUCCUUUGGUCACGAUUUGCAAAGUAGCACCGAUCCGACUACACCUACAACCUCAAUAACAACAGAAAAUUUGCCUACAACUACAACUUUGCCUACAACUACUAAAGAAAAUAUAGAGACCACCACACACUUACCUGAAAGUCCAUCAACUGAUAGACCUAAAUCAAAUAUUACCAUGUCUAUGGUUGCCUGGAUUCUUGGCCCUGCAUUUGGUUUGGCUACUUUAGCAGUGCUGGUAUACUGCUGUGUUAAGCAUGGAUGAAAAAUAAAUGAAAGCCUAUUGAAGUACUGUAUGUUUUAAUAAUAAAAAAAAUGAUAAUUGUAACUAAUAACUUUGAAGACAAAGUGCUAACGAUUACUCUUUAAAUAAUAUUUUCUAAAAUAAAAAUGAUUUAAAAUA